CUCUGACCUAGUAGUCUAGCCAUCACUAUUUGGUCCUUGUCAAACUCACUGAGACUUUUUUGCUUGCCCAUCUUCCCUGCUUCCAACACCUGAAAUUCAAGAACUGACUAUUCACUUGCUGCCCAAUAUAUUCCAACCCUUGACAGGUCCCAUUGUAAUGAUAUAAUCAAUGUUAUUCACUUUACCUGUCAACAGUUUUAAUGUUGUGACUGAU